rnacentral:rRNA from 2 species
GAAGGUGGCCUGUGAGGGUUGCUGGAGGUAUCAGAAGUGCGAAUGCUGACAUAAGUAACGAUAAAGCGGGUGAAAAGCCCGCUCGCCGGAAGACCAAGGGUUCCUGUCCAACGUUAAUCGGGGCAGGGUGAGUCGACCCCUAAGGCGAGGCCGAAAGGCGUAGUCGAUGGGAAACGGGUUAAUAUUCCCGUACUUGGUGUUACUGCGAAGGGGGGACGGAGAAGGCUAUGUUGGCCGGGCGACGGUUGUCCCGGUUUAAGCGUGUAGGUGUGUGUUCCAGGUAAAUCCGGUUCACUUUAACACUGAGGCGUGACGACGAGGCACUACGGUGCUGAAGCAACAAAUGCCCUGCUUCCAGGAAAAGCCUCUAAGCAUCAGGUAACAUCAAAUCGUACCCCAAACCGACACAGGUGGUCAGGUAGAGAAUACCAAGGCGCUUGAGAGAACUCGGGUGAAGGAACUAGGCAAAAUGGUGCCGUAACUUCGGGAGAAGGCACGCUGACACGUAGGUGAAGUGAUUUACUCAUGGAGCUGAAGUCAGUCGAAGAUACCAGCUGGCUGCAACUGUUUAUUAAAAACACAGCACUGUGCAAACACGAAAGUGGACGUAUACGGUGUGACGCCUGCCCGGUGCCGGAAGGUUAAUUGAUGGGGUCAGCGCAAGCGAAGCUCCUGAUCGAAGCCCCGGUAAACGGCGGCCGUAACUAUAACGGUCCUAAGGUAGCGAAAUUCCUUGUCGGGUAAGUUCCGACCUGCACGAAUGGCGUAAUGAUGGCCAGGCUGUCUCCACCCGAGACUCAGUGAAAUUGAACUCGCUGUGAAGAUGCAGUGUACCCGCGGCAAGACGGAAAGACCCCGUGAACCUUUACUAUAGCUUGACACUGAACAUUGAGCCUUGAUGUGUAGGAUAGGUGGGAGGCUUUGAAGCGUGGACGCCAGUCUGCGUGGAGCCGACCUUGAAAUACCACCCUUUAAUGUUUGAUGUUCUAACGUGGACCCGUGAUCCGGGUUGCGGACAGUGUCUGGUGGGUAGUUUGACUGGGGCGGUCUCCUCCUAAAGAGUAACGGAGGAGCACGAAGGUUGGCUAAUCCUGGUCGGACAUCAGGAGGUUAGUGCAAUGGCAUAAGCCAGCUUGACUGCGAGCGUGACGGCGCGAGCAGGUGCGAAAGCAGGUCAUAGUGAUCCGGUGGUUCUGAAUGGAAGGGCCAUCGCUCAACGGAUAAAAGGUACUCCGGGGAUAACAGGCUGAUACCGCCCAAGAGUUCAUAUCGACGGCGGUGUUUGGCACCUCGAUGUCGGCUCAUCACAUCCUGGGGCUGAAGUAGGUCCCAAGGGUAUGGCUGUUCGCCAUUUAAAGUGGUACGCGAGCUGGGUUUAGAACGUCGUGAGACAGUUCGGUCCCUAUCUGCCGUGGGCGCUGGAGAACUGAGGGGGGCUGCUCCUAGUACGAGAGGACCGGAGUGGACGCAUCACUGGUGUUCGGGUUGUCAUGCCAAUGGCACUGCCCGGUAGCUAAAUGCGGAAGAGAUAAGUGCUGAAAGCAUCUAAGCACGAAACUUGCCCCGAGAUGAGUUCUCCCUGAGACUU